GAUGAACGCUGGCGGCGUGCCUAAUACAUGCAAGUCGAGCGAACGGACGCGAAGCUUGCUUCUCUGAUGUUAGCGGCGGACGGGUGAGUAACACGUGGAUAACCUACCUAUAAGACUGGGAUCACUUCGGGAAACCGGAGCUAAUACCGGAUAAUAUUUUGAACCGCAUGGUUCAAAAGUGAAAGACGGUCUUGCUGUCACUUAUAGAUGGAUCCGCGCUGCAUUAGCUAGUUGGUAAGGUAACGGCUUACCAAGGCAACGAUGCAUAGCCGACCUGAGAGGGUGAUCGGCCACACUGGAACUGAGACACGGUCCAGACUCCUACGGGAGGCAGCAGUAGGGAAUCUUCCGCAAUGGGCGAAAGCCUGACGGAGCAACGCCGCGUGAGUGAUGAAGGUCUUCGGAUCGUAAAACUCUGUUAUUAGGGAAGAACAUAUGUGUAAGUAACUGUGCACAUCUUGACGGUACCGAAUCAGAAAGCCACGGCUAACUACGUG
rnacentral:rRNA from 1 species